rnacentral:rRNA from 1 species
GAUGAACGCUGGCGGCGUGCCUAAUACAUGCAAGUCGAGCGAAUGGAUUAAGAGCUUGCUCUUAUGAAGUUAGCGGCGGACGGGUGAGUAACACGUGGGUAACCUGCCCAUAAGACUGGGAUAACUCCGGGAAACCGGGGCUAAUACCGGAUAACAUUUUGAACCGCAUGGUUCGAAAUUGAAAGGCGGCUUCGGCUGUCACUUAUGGAUGGACCCGCGUCGCAUUAGCUAGUUGGUGAGGUAACGGCUCACCAAGGCAACGACGCGUAGCCGACCUGAGAGGGUGAUCGGCCACACGGGGCCUGAGACACGGCCCAGACUCCUACGGGAGGCAGCAGUAGGGAAUCUUCCGCAAUGGACGAAAGUCUGACGGAGCAACGCCGCGUGCGUGAUGAAGGCUUUCGGGUCGUAAAACUCUGUUGUUAGGGAAGAACAAGUGCUAGUUGAAUAAGCUGGCACCUUGACGGUACCUAACCAGAAAGCCACGGCUAACUACGUGCCAGCCGCCGCCCGUAA